GGCCGCGGUGGCGGGUCCCUCCGGGUCGUCUCCGUCUGCGGAGGACGACGGAGACGACGACGGGGAGGACGCGCCGCUGCUGCA
rnacentral:pre_miRNA from 1 species